rnacentral:rRNA from 1 species
GAUGAACGCUAGCUACAGGCUUAACACAUGCACGUCGCAGGACUGGCGCCCGGGUGAGUAACGCGUAUCCAAUCUUCCCAUAACUACGGGAUAACCCGUUGAAAGACGGCCUAAUACCGUCUGGUUAUGGAUGGGGAGGCGUCUGAUUAGCUUGUUGGCGGGGUAACGGCCCACCAAGGCGACGAUCAGUAGGGGUUCUGAGAGGAAGGUCCCCCACAGUGGAACUGGGACAAGGUCCAAACGCCUAAUGGAGGCAGCAGUGAGGAAUAGUGGUCAAUGGGCGAGAGCCUGAACCAGCAAAGUGGCGUGCAGGAUGACGGCCUAUGGGUUGUAAACUGCUUGUAUGUGGGGAUAGGUACCACAUGGAUAAGGACCGGCUGAGGCCGUGCCAGCAGCCGCGGUAAUUC